AUUAACUUAUUUUUCGAUUGAUUACGUUAUACACAAAUAUGUCCGCAUUGUGUAUGUAUCCCCUUAGCAUUACUCCAUAUGUGUAUAACUUUAAGUAUAAAAAC
rnacentral:misc_RNA from 1 species